rnacentral:misc_RNA from 1 species
GGUAUUUACAAGAAAGAUUGAUGGGAAAGUAAAGAAAAAUAUGAUAAGAGAACUAAAACUAGAAAAACCCAGGUAGAAGAACCCAAAACUCUGAUUUCUGGAGCUCCCAAAGAUGGUUGCAGCAGCUCCUCCCUCAGAAAAAUGGCGUCCUCCUCUCUCUAUUUAUAAUUUUUUUUCUUUUCUUUGUUUCUUUCUAUUUCCUCUUGUGGCAAAAGCUAGAAAAUUAUGUUUUUAUAUAGUCCCAAAGGUUGCCCAAAAAAUAGAUAAGAGUCAAGGAGUGGAUAGGAAAUGGUGUAAAAUUAUCCAAGUCAGCAACACUUUCACGUUCUGGGCAUUCUGCUUAGGGUUCGGCUUAACCCUAAGCAGCUUCUUAGCAAAUUUCAGCCUCUGGUCAUACUGUCUGCUUAAGAUUAAGCAGACCUUCAGCAAAUCUCAGCAGACUUAGAGUAAAAUAGACUUUUCUGCUCAUGCUUGACUUGUGUUGCACCUUAAGCAUUGCCGCUUUACCCUGAGCAUGACCUUAAGCAAGGUCUCAAGCAAAUUUCGGCUGGUUUGCUCUUUCAAGGCUUAAUUUCUUCAACUUUCCUCCAUGCU